UACACCCCGUUGAAGGCCAGCAAAUGCACGCCGUGCCCCACGCUUCAUCACACUUCACACCUCACACGCGUACGCUUGUCUACUUCGUCCCCCUCGCCGGCGACCCAGCCAUCCACUGAUGGCAGCGACGGCGGCCGCUAGGGGCACCGCUUCUCGCUCCCCUCUCCUCAUCCACCACCACCGACUCCCUCAGGUUCCAGCCGGUGGGGGAGGUUCGUUGAGGGUGGGCGCGCUCGGGGCCGGACGGGAUUGGAGACGACGGGUCCGGGUUUUCGCGCGCUAUUCCUCCCAGCCACAAGACUUCUCCAGUCGGCUCCAAGAUAGAGCUGGUGAAUUGCCGAAAUUAGUCGAGGAUCUUCUCCAGACGUCGAUUAGCACAGGGCCUCGAGGUGCCUUUAGGAUGGCACAAGGGAUCCAAGCUCUCCUUGGGGUUGGUGGGGAGUGGCUAAACGACUUCUCGAAGACAGCUAACACAUCAGAAGGAAUUCCAGCUCAGAUGCGGCUUGGUUUGCUUUCUCCUCUUUACCUCAGAAGGCUUUUUGAACGCAUGGGUGCAACUUAUAUCAAGCUAGGUCAGUUCAUAGCGUCUGCACCGACUUUCUUUCCUGCAGAAUAUGUUGAAGAAUUCCAGAAUUGUUUUGACCGAGCACCACCUGUUCCUUAUAGCGAGAUCGAGUCGAUAUUGCGUGAGGAGUUGCAGCGGCCAUUGGAUAGUGUCUAUGAGUACAUUGAUCCCGUGCCAAUAGCAUCUGCUUCAAUAGCACAGGUUCAUGGGGCUAGGUUGAAGAGCUCUCAGAAGGAUGUGGUGAUUAAAGUCCUGAAACCUGGAAUUGAAGAUACUUUGGUUGCCGAUCUGAAUUUUAUCUAUCUUGUUGCACGUGUUUUGGAGUUUCUAAGCCCUGAAUUAGAGAGGACAUCACUGGUAGCUAUCAUCAAGGACAUAAAGGAAUCAAUGCUUGAGGAAGUUGAUUUUAGAAAGGAGGCUGUAAAUAUGGAGGCUUUCCAGAGAUACAUCGAAGCAAUGGGAUUUGAUAGGCAGGCCAAAUCUCCAUUUGUGUAUCAGCACUGCAGCACAAAGCGUGUCUUAACUAUGGAAAGAUUGUAUGGCGUUCCACUCACCGAUCUUGAUUCUAUAAGGUCUCUUGUUCCUGAUCCUGAGUUGACUUUAGUCACUGCCCUCAAUGUCUGGUUUGGAAGCUUGAUCUCAUGUGAAUCCUUCCAUGCGGAUGUGCAUGCAGGAAACCUAUGGUUACUUCGUGAUGGGCGUGUUGGGUUUAUUGAUUUUGGAAUUGUUGGUCGAAUAUCCCCAAGGACUUGGGCUGCUAUGGAGAUUUUUUUGGCUUCUUUCGCAACUGAGGAUUACAAUGCUAUGGCAUCGGCCCUUUCCGAAAUGGGUGCUACAGGGAAUGAUAUAGAUGUUGACUCCUUUGCAAAGGACUUGCAAAAGAUAUUCUCGUCGCUACAGGAGUUGGAUACUGAAAUUAUAGUGGCAGCUGCAAGAAGUUCUGAUGCUACAGCUGUAUCUGCUAAUGUUGUUGUAGACGAGAGGCAGAUGAAUGCACUGUUUCUUGAUCUGUUCAAAAUGGGUUAAGAUCCUCUGUUUCAUACUCCAAACUGCUAAGUCCAAACGACAAGCUCAACAAGAUCGGGCGCAAUUUCAACUGGCACAAUGACAUUGACAGCACGUCGGGUGGGCUGGUCAACUAGCCCACGGUCUGUCGCUCGAAAUCGCUUGGCCGCCUUGGCCUUGCUGGUCUGGAGAAAUUUGGUCAGGCGCUGAGGAUGAGAUGGCCUUGGUUCCACUGGACCAAUCCCGAGCGGCCGUGGGUGCGCUCCACCUUGCCAUGUGAUGAUUCAGGCAUGGAUAUUUAUAGGCACCGACCACUAUCACAAUUGGAAAUGGCGCAAAGACUCUGUUCUCGCAUGACAACUGGAGAGGCAAAGGUCCGCUCAAGUCUUACGCCCCUGAGCCGUACAGAAGCGCCACUAGGAGGCAAAGGUCAGUUAUGAAGGGGCUUCAGGAUGAUAACUGGAUUCGAGCCGUAGCACGCAUGCACAGCCUGUCCCAGCUAUACGAGUUUGUCAACCUUUGGACUUUGUUGGCUCACAUGAACCUUGACCCUGAUCGGUAUGACAUCAUCUCCUGGAAAUGGACUUCCAGCGGCGUCUAACUCUCCGGCCUCCGCCUAUGCUGUUCAAUUCCACGGACCUCACCCCAAGUUCCUUUCCACGAAGAUCUGGUUGGCGUGUGCUGAGCCAAUAUGCAAGUUCUUCUCCUGUCUCGUUCUUCACGGUAGAAUCUCAUUGCCAACAUGCUUGCCAUCCGUGGGUGGCUGCACAACCAGAUCUGCAAGCUAUCUCUGCGUGCCCCUGAGACUGCCGUGCAUCUCUGCAAAGACUGCUCCCUUUCCCAGGCUGUCUGAAGCAACAUUCAAGCUUGGACUGGUGAGAUCAUCCAGGCUACUACCGUGCAGGGCACAACUCAGGGGGGUCUUAGAUUGGUGGAGAUCAUGAUUGAAGCUGCACCGAAAGAGUUUAAGAGGCGCAGGAGUGGGAGACCUCUCUACACGAUUUGGAACAUCUGGAAGGAAAGAAUCGUCACACUUUUAAUAGGAUCCGCCUAACCCUCCUGGAGGUCACCACGCUGGCCUUCAAGGGCAUAAAGCAGCGUCACAUGGCAUUUGGCCACGCAAGGACAAGUGAGGGUAUCGGUUAGACUCGGGUUUUUUCCUCAUGUUUUUGGAGUUCUGAUGAGUCCCUUCACAAUCUCAUCACAUUUCUGUACAAAAAUCUUCUAUUCGUCUAAUAUGAAAAGGCAGCGCUCCUGGCGGUUUCUUGAAAAAAAACUGCGAAGGUAAGGGUUAGCGAGUCAUAUGGGCUGAGAUUUCCUAGGGAAUUCGCUCUUCUCAUGAAGCAGCUUCUUUAUUUUGAUCGGUACACGAGGCUGCUGGCUCCCAGCAUGAACAUGCUGCGAGAUGAGAGGAUUAACAUUACUUCCAACAAGCAGACCAGAAGAAUGAAUUGAUUCUAUCUUCCAUCAUUUGAGGAAUUGGUGCAAGACCUGGACAAGUGACGUGAGUUGUGACAAGCGUAUGUAACCAUGCUAGAACUGUAUAUAAUUUAAUACGACCAGCAUAAAAGUGAAUCACGUAAGAGGAAACAUAACACUGGCUCCUGUUGUGGAACUUAAGGCAUCUUGGAGCGGAAAUUGCUUUUGGAUCUCGGGCUCCAUGGAGACUGGAAUUUGAAAAUUAUAAAAUUAUAAUUUUCAAGUUUUCAAAAGUUC